GACUUAAGCAUAUCAAUAAGCGGAGGAAAAGAAACUAACAAGGAUUCCCCUAGUAACGGCGAGUGAAGCGGGAAGAGCUCAAAUUUGAAAUCUGGCGGCCUUUGGUCGUCCGAGUUGUAGUCUGGAGAAGCGUCUUCCGCGCCGGACCGUGUACAAGUCCCUUGGAACGGGGCGUCAUAGAGGGUGAGAAUCCCGUCUUUGACACGGACCGCCGGUGCUUUGUGAUGCGCUCUCAAAGAGUCGAGUUGUUUGGGAAUGCAGCUCAAAACGGGUGGUAAAUUCCAUCUAAAGCUAAAUAUUGGCGAAAGACCGAUAGCGAACAAGUACCGUGAGGGAAAGAUGAAAAGCACUUUGGAAAGAGAGUUAAACAGUACGUGAAAUUGUUGAAAGGGAAACGCUUGAAGUCAGUCGCGUCUCUCGGGACUCAGCCUUGCUUUUGCCUGGCGUACUUCCUGGGGUGACGGGCCAGCAUCGAUUUUGACCGUCGGAGAAAGGCCUUGGGAAUGUGGCACCUCCGGGUGUGUUAUAGCCCUGGGUCGCAUGCGACGGUUGGGAUCGAGGACCGCAGCACGCCUUUUUGGCCGGGGUUCGCCCACGUAACGUGCUUAGGAUGCUGGCGUAAUGGCUUUAAGCGACCCGUCUUG
rnacentral:rRNA from 1 species